AUUCAGUACAAAGUGAUCCAUUAAGUGUCUACACUCAAUAAUUAAAAAAAUUAUUGACUUUUUUCAAAUGUUAUUUAAAAUUUAGAUACAUGUAUUUCUAAAAUUGUAAACAUUUUUAAUUCGUUAAUCCUUUUUAUUUUUUGAGAUUAACACACUAUCAACUUUUUAUUUUCAAAUGGUUACAUGUAUUAAGGAUCCCACAAAUACAUUACGUUUCAGAUUAAAUGCAUUAGCAUUUAUAAUUAAAGUGGAAUAUCUCGUUAAUGAGUAGAUGGAAAUUAAAAAUGUCAACACCAAAAUUAAUUUAAACUAAAAUGUAUUUCUCUCUCAUUAUGGUUUUAAUCCGUAAAUUGGUUUACAGCCAUCCUACAUUCCUUGAGAUUGAGUCAUUUAUUAUCUGUUGAACAUACUCUAAUCUCGGCCUUCCCCUAUGGUUCUUUCCCUCUACGCUUCCUUCUAUAAUUAGUUUUAACAAUCCUUCGCGUCACAUUAUAUUACUAAUCCAUUCGUUUCAUCUUCUAACCAUAACGUAUUUCUCCAUAAUAUCUUUCCUUCUGAACAACACAUUUCAUACGACUCCAGUCUUUUAUUGAUUGAUAUUGUCCAGAUCUCACACCCAUAAGGGACCAUACUCUAUACAAAUUACGUCUUUAAUAUAUUUGUCCAUGUCUAUAGGUUAAUGUUUCUUGAUGUAAGUACCGCAUUCGAACAUAAAGAUAUACAAUCAGUUAGAAAGACUAUUUAUAUUGAACGAAGAAAAAACUUCUUCAAUAAUCGCGUCAUUUAUACUUUUGCUAU